AACGAACGCUGGCGGUAUGCUUAACACAUGCAAGUCGAACGGAUGUAGCAAUACAUUAGUGGCAAACGGGUGAGUAAUAUAGAGGAAUCUACCUAACAGUACGGAAUAACUCUGGGAAACCAGUGCUAAUACCGUAUACUACCAUUUAUUUGGGAAAGAUUUAUCGCUGUUAGAUGAGCCUCUACCGGAUUAGCUAGUUGGUGGGGUAAUGGCCUACCAAGGCUUUGAUCCGUAGCUGGUCUUAGAGGAUGAUCAGCCACACUGGAACUUAGACACGGUCCAG
rnacentral:rRNA from 1 species